UUUUAUAUAGAAGGUCAAUCCUGCCCAGUGAUUUAAAUUAAACGGCCGCGGUAUCUUGACCGUGCAAAGGUAGCAUAAUCAUUUGUCUCUUAAUUAGAGACUGGAAUGAAUGGAUAAACGAAGGUCUUACUAUAUCAAGAGUAAAAAUAAAAAUUAUUAUUCAAGUGAAGAAACUUGAAUUAGUAAAAAAGACAAGAAGACCCUAUUGAGCUUUACUUUAUCUAAUAGUACUAAAUACUUUAAAGAAAAACUACACUAAUAAAAAGUUUGGUUGGGGCGACCAAGGAAUAUAUCUUUCUUCCUUUUAUAAAAGGUUAAUAAACCAAAAAAUGACCCUUAAUUAAGAUCAUAAAAACAAGUUACCAUAGGGAUAACAGGCUAAUCUUUCUCGAGAGCCCAAAUUGACAGAAAGGAUUGGCACCUCGAUGUUGGCUUAGAUUCCCAAUAGAUGCAGCAGUCUAUU
rnacentral:rRNA from 1 species